rnacentral:lncRNA from 10 species
CCGCCUUCCCUGCCCAAGCCUCCUCCGAGAAGCCCUUGGAGCUUGUGCCGGGUAGCUAGGCAUCCGGGCACACGCGGGCUGCGUGGCCUUUGGAAUUGUGGGCAUGGCAGCCCUGUGCCCUGACAUCCUCAGUGUGGCAAGCCAUGAACAUCUCUAUGUGUCAUGAACACAGGAAACAUCUCUCUUCGUUAGGCAGGCCAGGUAGAUGGUACGGAGGUGGAGGAACACAGCCAUCCCGGUUACCGGUGGCAGGAUGAUUUCCUUUCAUCCCAACCUUUAUUUCCACAGUGAAAUCAUCAUGAAGGAGCACUGUGUUGGCAUCCUCGAGCUCCAGCUGUUCUGUAGAGAAACUGGCGUGAAUUGAAGAAAAAAAAACUGGACGAUUGAAGGUUACUUACGGGCCACUCUUCAUUUACUAAGACUAUGUAAUUCUCAGAGAGGACACACAACCUGUGAAGAGUUGGAUGUAAAUGAUGAAGAGUCAUUGAGAAAAGGCUGCCUGAAGAAUCAUCCUCUACAUUUCUAGCUUGAAAUACAGGGUAUUUGGUGCUGUGAAUUUCUGAAAUAGUGGAAUACUGUAGGAGGAAACAUGUUUUGGGGAUGAAAGGAAGGUCUGGUUUUGGUAUGUGGAGAUGUAAGGCAUGAAGUUGGAUAUGCCAAGUCUGAAGGUAGAACAAAGAUCUGGCCUGAAGUUGAGAAUUUCUUAAUGGUCAGCAUAGAAAGGGUGUUUUAGCCUUGAGAAAACCCAAGAGGAUCCAUGACUGAGAUCUGAACAACUUCAACACCUGUAGAUUUAGUAAAGAUGCCAACAAACUACACACCAAGUUCAUAUUAAAUGUAUUAGGAAAAGACAAACAACUUAGUGAGAGGCAUUCAGGCAACUAGCAUUUAGCUAGCUAUUAGGUAGCAAAUUUCGGAAAAAAUAAAAUGUAUAAAGAAUCUUUGAUCAGGUUUCCAAAUAUACAAAAUAAAAACCACUUACAUGUUAGAAGACAAUAUACAAAAUGAUAUUAUGUUAAUGGUACUAUUUAAUGCUAAUAGACAAAAAUGAAAAUUAUUCUGAAUUAAAUCAAUAGACAAUAUAUUUUCUAUCACUGUCUUUUCUUCUCAAUUUGUGUGUUGUUUUAAUUCACUAAGCAAUGACUCCUCUUAAUUCCACUACUUUUUAUUUAACACUGCAUUUUUUUUCAUAUGUGCAAUAUUACGCUGCCCAAUAGAGAGGAAAUGCAGAAUUUGGUCUAUUAUAUCAGAAACACCUUAGUUUUUCAGCUUUGGGCUUGUGCAGUGUGGUUAAUUUAAAGGUUCUCAUCAGGCUUUGAUUUUUGUAGUUUCUGUAAUCACUUCUCCAAAAUAAACAAUGUCUGAAACUAAUGACUACAAUAAAAUUAAAAUUAUGCUGGCUUUUAAGAUAAUUA